AUUGAACGCUGGCGGCAGGCCUAACACAUGCAAGUCGAGCGAGCGGCGGACGGGUGAGUAAUGUCUGGGAACCUGCCUGAUGGAGGGGGAUAACUACUGGAAACGGUAGCUAAUACCGCAUACCAUCAGAUGUUCCCAGAUGGGAUUAGCUAGUAGGUGGGGUAACGGCUCACCUAGGCGACGAUCCCUAGCUGGUCUGAGAGGAUGACCAGCAAAACUGGAACUGAGACACGGUCCAGACUCCUACGGGGGGCAGCAGUGGGGAAUAUUGCAAAAUGGGCGCAAGCCUGAUGCAGCCAUGCCGCGUGUGUGAAGAAGGCCUUCGGGUUGUAAAGCACUUUCAGCGGGGAGGCGUUACCCGCAGAAGAAGCAACGGCUAACUCCGUGCCAGCAGCCGCGGUAAUUC
rnacentral:rRNA from 1 species